rnacentral:lncRNA from 1 species
AUCGGAGCGGGAACGGGAACGAGAGCGAGAACGAGACAAGUCCAUCCUCACGUCCACCACUACAGUGGAGCAUGCACCCAUCUGGAGACCUGGUAGGGCACCCCAGACCCCGCCCCACCCCCAGGUCCUCAUGGGCCACCUGGGCCUGCCCCCUGACUCGGCGGCCUGUCACCAGGUACGGAGCAGAGCAGCGGGGCUGGGGGCAGCAGCCGCCCCGCCUCCCACACCCACCAGCACUCGCCCAUCUCCCCCCGGACCCAGGACGCCUUGCAGCAGAGGCCCAGUGUGCUGCACAACACGAGCAUGAAGGGCGUGGUCACCUCCGUGGAACCCGGCACGCCCACGGUCCUGAGGUGGGCCAGGUUGG